ensembl:lncRNA
GGCGGGGGCGGCGGGACUCGGCCGGCAACAGCCGUCGAGGAAAUCGGGACCGAGGAGCGGCGGGGCGGCCGAGAUGAUAGCACAAAUCUCUAUCGGUGGAGCCUACAGCUGCAGACAAACCUUGAAGAAGGUCUCCUACAGCAGCAUGAAAGGCUGCUGACCAGAGGCCAUUAGAACAUGACUGGGAAGAGGAAGACUUGGCUGUGACUGGCUGGUACCUUCACAGAAGGCCCUCGAACAACUGUUUAUUUCCAGAGUCUUCCCGGAUUUUUGUGAAAAUCUGCAUACCACAGACUUCUAGAAUGCAAGCAGAAGAUAAUCCUUCUUCAGAAUUAGUCAUAACGACUGUGAAGAGAUAUGAAUUUUUACACUGCUCUUGCCCCUGUUGUGAGUUUCUGGUGGAUAAGCUGAUAGCUUCAGUUUUCAAAGAUGUCAGGUGGAUAUGACAGCCUGAAGUGCCCAGAUUUCAGACAGCCUAUUCCUUGUUAGCCCCCUGACCCACAGGAGUGGACAGCAGUCAAGAGUGGUGAAGUUUGGAUUCUCAUCCAGAAAGCCAGAAGGCUUGUGAGAACAGGUGAAAUUUGUUUCUUGAAGUGACUAAAUUUGCAUUAGUUUGAAAGAUUUUUUUAAAC